rnacentral:rRNA from 1 species
AANGUUNAUCCCUGGCUCAGAUUGAACGUGGGCGGGCAGCCCUAACACAUNCAAGUCNACCGNAUGAGAGAANCUUGCUCCUUGAUUUAGCGGCGGACGGGGUGAGUAAAUGCCCUAGGAAUCUGCCCUGGUAGUGGGGGAUAACGUCCGGAAACGGGCGCUAAUACCGCAUACGUCCUACGGGAGAAAGCAGGGGACCUUCGGGCCUUGCGCUAUCAGAUGAGCNUAGGUCGGAUUAGCUAGUUGGUGAGGUAAUGGCUCACCAAGGCGACGAUCCGUAACUGGUCUGAGAGGAUGAUCAGUCACACUGGAACUGAGACACGGUCCAGACUCCUACGGGAGGCAGCAGUGGGGAAUAUUGGACAAUGGGCGAAAGCCUGAUCCAGCCAUGCCGCGNGUGUGAAGAAGGUCUUCGGAUUGUAAAGCACUUUAAGUUGGGAGGAAGGGCGAAACCUAAUACGUUAUUCUUGACGANNGCAGANAGCCCGCACUC